rnacentral:lncRNA from 1 species
CUUGAUUCUCUUAUCUCCAGGGCUCUAUGAAUGUUUCUGACUAGAGUCCUUUCUGCUCAUUUACAAAAGGACUCCCUCCCCAGAGCCUGGCUGGUGCCUGGACAUGCCUCCACCAAGGAGGCAGGGUCUGCUUGAACCACAGCUCUGUUUGGGUCCUGGGAUAACUCAGCCUCCCUAUAGCGGGAUUCUCCUGAUCCUGCAAACCUUCGUUAUAUCAGAAACAAAAGGAGGAGCGGGCUGAAAAGGACCAGUAUGAAGUAGACUGGCUGGGAACUUGAAACAGACACAAUCCUGGCUGCAGGCGCAAUUCUUCCUUCUCCUGAUGCCCUGGACAUCACAGAGUUACAGAGGAACCCA